CUUGAUGGAGCCCAGCCACAGCGGUCGUUCGGCGCUGUGCUGCCGUCCGUACGCCGCGAUCACCGCCUGUGCCUC
rnacentral:antisense_RNA from 1 species